AGAGAUGGAAAAAAAACAUGACGUGUCAUCACAGAAGUGCUGAGCAGAAGAGGUAUUUUAAUUUUCAGAUCUGAAACUUCUUCUAAGAGCUUGCCUGUAAAGGACAUACUGGAAGAGCAGUCCAAAAAUCUGGAGCUUGACACUGGAAUGCACUGCAAAUUCAAUGUCAGUCAUUCAGCAGUUUUAGAUGGAGCCAUACGUGGAUUUAAAAGGGUAUUAUACAAUCCACAUUUCUCAAUGAUUGUGAAAUUCUCUGAUGAUUUUGGAAAAAAUGAAGAGGCGAUUGAUUCGGAUGGCCUACGGAGAGAAUUUUUGCGUUUACUCAUUGAAGCCUUGUCCAUGUCUCCGAUGUUUGAAGGCACAGACAAAAGCAAAAAUGUAGCUAUGAAUAGCCAAGAGGGAGGACAAGUACUUGUUGGCUGGAAGGGCAAUUGCUGUUAGCAUCGUCCAUGGAGGUCCAGCUCCACGGUUCCUUUCUCCAGUCCUUUUCACUAGCUUGGUUGGAGGUCCAAAUGUGGCUUGCCCUACUAAAAGAUGUAACUGAUGCAGACCUCCAUGAAAAACUGAAAAAGGGUAUCUGAAAGUUCCACUCUGGAGGAGCUUCUGAGAGCCACAGAUCCUCUUUUAGACUACAUGACCAAUGCAGGAUGUGUCAGACCCUUAACAACCAUUAGUGAUCGAGACCUUCUCCUGUGUGGCCUGCUGAUGUUUCAUGUUGUUCACUGGGUCCAAGGCCCCUUUCAAAGGUGUAGUUUGUUUUUAAUAUUUCUUUAAAUGCAUGAUAUAAAAUAGGCUCGGCUCAGCUCAGUUUAUCAAUCAGAGACUGGGAGUAAACGUUUGUUUGCUUAUAUAUGUUUGUACUGGUUUGAAGAAGGACUAAAGACACUUGGAGUUUUAGAUGCUGUUAAGCAACAUCCAGACAGUUUUCGCUCUUUGUUCUGCCAUGAGCCACAGCGAUUAACUGCUGACAUGAUGGAUGACCUUUUCCCCACUCGGCUUGCGCCAAAGGAAGUAACCAAAGAAGAGCAGAAGAUGCAGUUAUUCGUUUGUGAAAUGAUUAUCUGCAAGAUGCAGAAGGUAAUUUGCAAAUAUUAUCAUCGUCUGUAGCUGUUAUUAAUAUUAUAUGACUGUUAAUCAUUAACGUAUCUCUCAAAAUAGCCACACAUCAUUUGAAAGUAUGAUCAGUGGACCAUAUCCUAAAACCAUCACAUUUGGUUUGUAAUUAAACAAAAUAUUCUGAGACUAUAAUAAAACAAAAAAUUGUCAAAUAGCAGUUUUCAAAGCCCAAAUUUUCCUGUUUUUAUUUUAAAAAUUGAAAAACAAAUCUUGAAUUGUAAACCAAACUAUGAA